AAAAUCAAAACAGUAGUAUAGUACUACUAUAUGUUUUUGACUCGUUUGAUCUCUUGGUGUAAACAGAUGUGUUUGAUCCAUUUUCACCACCAAGGAGCGUGAGCCAGCUACUAAACAUGAUGGACCAAAUGAUGGAUUCUCCAUUCAGUGUUUCCCCUCGUGGUAUUGGCACCGGAGUCCUACCAAGGAGAGGAUGGGACGUGAAGGAGGACGACAACGCUCUGUAUUUAAAAAUGGACAUGCCUGGGCUUGACAAGGAGAACGUGAAGGUAUCAGUUGAGGAGAACAUGUUGGUUAUUAAAGGUGAAGGUGAGAAAGAAUCUGAGGAUGAAGAGUAUAGGAGGAGGUACUCCACUAGGCUGGAAAUUCCUCCGAAUUUGUACAAAUUGGAUGGGAUUAAGGCAGAGAUGAAGAAUGGGGUUCUGAAAGUGGCUGUGCCAAAGGUGAAGGAAGAAGAGAGGAAGGAUGUUUUCAAUGUUCAAGUUGAGUGAGAUUUCAGUGCCUACUUUGGUUUUGGGUGGGAUAUGUUGAACAGUUUCCUUUUUCUUUUGUUCUAGUUAGGAUGGGCUUUAGUGAUCUCUGUGUGAAAAAUAAAAGAUGACCUGCUAAAAAAAAUCGAAAUAUGGUUGUAAUUGUCUCUUUAGAGUAACUCAAGUUGUUGAGUA